AGUGAACGCUGGCGGUAGGCCUAACACAUGCAAGUCGAACGGCAGCACAGUAAGAGCUUGCUCUUACGGGUGGCGAGUGGCGGACGGGUGAGGAAUACAUCGGAAUCUACUUUUUCGUGGGGGAUAACGUAGGGAAACUUACGCUAAUACCGCAUACGACCUACGGGUGAAAGCAGGGGAUCUUCGGACCUUGCGCGAUUGAAUGAGCCGAUGUCGGAUUAGCUAGUUGGCGGGGUAAAGGCCCACCAAGGCGACGAUCCGUAGCUGGUCUGAGAGGAUGAUCGGCCACACUGGAACUGAGACACGGUCCAGACUCCUACGGGAGGCAGCAGUGGGGAAUAUUCGACAAUGGGCGAAAGCCUGACGCAGCAACACCGCGUGAGUGAAGAAGGCCUUCGGGUUGUAAAGCCCUUUUGUUGGGAAAGAACAGCAGUAGGUUUAACCCCCGCUGUUCUGACGGUACCCAAAGAAAAAGCACCGGCUAACUUCGUG
rnacentral:rRNA from 1 species